AUUUACUCCAUCUGGGUAUUCAGAGCUAUGAUUCAAAGUUUUUAAGGAUCUAUCCGCAACUCCCGCCAACUCCAUUGCAGCUAGAAGAAGAUCUUGAACAGCUUAAAGUUCUUGAGAAUGGAUAUAAGAUGAAGGUGAUCAAGGUUGACCAUGAUGCCCACGGUGUAGACACCCCAGAAGAUGUUGAGAAGAUUGAAGCACUCAUGCGAACAAGAAAU
rnacentral:misc_RNA from 1 species